UUUCUUUUUUUUUUUUUUUUUUGGAUCGGUUCUCUCCUAUUUAAAACGUUUUUUAAUUGAAAUACAAUUACAUCACUUUCUUCCUCACUUUCCUCCCUCCAGCCCCUUCUGUGACGCCCUGUCUUGAGUUGAUAGCUUCCUUUUCUUUAUUAUUGUUACUUGUGUGUGUGUAUGUGUGUGAGUGUAUAUAUAGUUACAUGUGUGUGUAUGUGAGUGUGUAUAUAGUUACGUGUGUGUGUGUGUGUGUGUGUGUGGUUUUAGGGCUGACCACUCUGCAUUAGACAAACAGUAAAGUGACUCAUCCCUGGGGGAGAGGAUAACUCUCCUUCUCCAACAGUCUUUUGUUGCCUAUAGCUCCUUGUCUAGGGGUGCUGGAACUACUACUAUGGUAACAUGCCCAUUGUUACUGCUGUUGUUCUAGUUAAUACAUCAGUUUCUAGGAGAGACUGUUUGACAGCAUAAUUCCUAGCAUUCUGGCUCCUACAGUCUUUCUGCCAUUUUCCUUCAGCCGUAGAUGCAGUAGCUAUGAUAUAGAUGUAUCUCUUGAGGCUGUCCUCUCAGUGAUCUAGUGACCUCUGCACUGGUCCACGUAUGGUUUUUGGUUUUGUUUUUGUUUUUUUUGAGAUUGUCUUCCUUUGCUGUAAAGAAAGGCUUCUUUGAUGAGGCUUGUUAUUGAUAUAGUGAUAAGAUUCAGAACAAUGGUUCUCAACUUGUGAGUCAUUAUCCCUUUGGGGCUCUUAUAUCAAAUAUCCUGCAUCUCAGAUAUUUACAUUAUAACUCAUAAAGUAACAAAAUUACAGUUAUUAUGUAGCAAUGAAGUAAUUUUAUUGUUAGGGGUCACCACAACAUGAAGAUCUGUAUGAAAGGGUCGGAGCAUUAAGAAGGUUGAGACCCUCUAGUUUAGAGUCUAACACUUUUAGGCUCACAGCAAAAGUUAGAGGACAGGUCAGAAGCAUAUACUUCCUGCCCUGGUAAUCUAUACAACAUAGUAAGUUAUUUCUAAUAAUUCUGAGUUUUCACUAGUAGACAAAAUUCUUAAAAAAUG
rnacentral:lncRNA from 1 species